GGUAGCACAGGGGAGCUUGCUCCCCGGGUGACGAGUGGCGGACGGGUGAGUAAUGUCUGGGGAUCUGCCCGAUGGAGGGGGAUAACUACUGGAAACGGUAGCUAAUACCGCAUAACCUCGAAAGAGCAAAGUGGGGGACCUUCGGGCCUCACACCAUCGGAUGAACCCAGAUGGGAUUAGCUAGUAGGUGGGGUAACGGCUCACCUAGGCGACGAUCCCUAGCUGGUCUGAGAGGAUGACCAGCCACACUGGAACUGAGACACGGUCCAGACUCCUACGGGAGGCAGCAGUGGGGAAUAUUGCACAAUGGGCGCAAGCCUGAUGCAGCCAUGCCGCGUGUAUGAAGAAGGCCUUCGGGUUGUAAAGUACUUUCAGCGGGGAGGAAGGGAUGAAGGUUAAUAACCUUCGUCAUUGACGUUACCCGCAGAAGAAGCACCGGCUAACUCCGUGCCAGCAGCCGCGGUAAUACGGAGGGUGCAAGCGUUAAUCGGAAUUACUGGGCGUAAAGCGCACGCAGGCGGUUUGUUAAGUCAGAUGUGAAAUCCCCGGGCUCAACCUGGGAACUGCAUUUGAAACUGGCAAGCUUGAGUCUCGUAGAGGGGGGUAGAAUUCCAGGUGUAGCGG
rnacentral:rRNA from 1 species